rnacentral:rRNA from 1 species
UUUUCAAAUCAGUGAAAUUAAUCUCCCCGUGAAGAAGCGGGGAUACUCAUAUAAGACGAGAAGACCCCAUGGAGCUUCAAACCCAACUACACCCCUAGCUCUUAUAGCCCCACAACCCCCCCUAGGCGCCGUGUGCUUGGUUUUAGGUUGGGGCGACCGCGGAGUACAAUAAAACCUCCACAAUGAAUGGGAACACCCCCUUAUCUGAGGGCCACACCCCCUAAGAAUUAGAACACUAACAUAAAAUGAUCCAUUACUUGAUCAAUGAACCAAGUUACCCUGGGGAUAACAGCGCAAUCCAUUUCAAGAGCCCCUAUCGACAAAUGGGUUUACGACCUCGAUGUUGGAUCAGGGUACCCCAGUGGUGCAGCAGCUACUAACGGUUCGUUUGUUCAACGAUUAAAACCCU